UAAUACGGAGGUGGCAAGCGUUGUUCGGAAUUACUGGGCGUAAAGGGCGCGUAGGCGGCAGGGCAAGUCAGGUGUGAAAGCCCCGGGCUCAACUCGGGAACUGCAUCUGAAACUGCUUUGCUUGAGUCCUGGAGGGGGUAGUGGAAUUCCCAGUGUAGCGGUGAAAUGCGUAGAUAUUGGGAGGAACACCGGUGGCGAAGGCGGCUACCUGGACAGUGACUGACGCUGAGGCGCGAAAGCUAGGGGAGCGAACGGGAUUAGAUACCCCGGUAGUCCUAGCCGUAAACGAUGGGCACUUGGUGUCGGGGGUAUUGAGUCCCUCGGUGCCGGAGUUAACACGUUAAGUGCCCCGCCUGGGGAGUACGGUCGCAAGACUG
rnacentral:rRNA from 1 species